GACGAACCACACGAACGUUAUUCGGAAUUACUGGGCUUAAAGCGUGUGUAGGCGGAAUGGUAAGUACCUUGUGAAAUCCCACGGCUCAACCGUGGAACUGCUUGGUAUACUGCUUUUCUUGAGCCACUUAGGGGCUGUCGGAACAAACGGUGGAGCGGUGAAAUGCGUAGAUAUCGUUUGGAACGCCAAAGGUGAAAACAGACAGCUGGGAGUGUGCUGACGCUGAGACACGAAAGCCAGGGGAGCGAACGGG
rnacentral:rRNA from 1 species